CACUCCUACGGGAGGCAGCAGUGGGGAAUUUUGGACAAUGGGCGAAAGCCUGAUCCAGCAAUGCCGCGUGUGUGAAGAAGGCCUUCGGGUUGUAAAGCACUUUUGUCCGGAAAGAAAUCCUUGGCUCUAAUACAGUCGGGGGAUGACGGUACCGGAAGAAUAAGCACCGGCUCACUACGUGCCAGCAGCCGCGGUAAUACGUAGGGUGCGAGCGAUAAUCGGAAUUACUUGGCGUAAAGCGUGCGCAGGCGGUUUGCUAAGACCGAUGUGAAAUCCCCGGGCUCAACCUGGGAACUGCAUUGGUAACUGGCAGGCUAGAGUAUGGCAGAGGGGGGUAGAAUUCCACGUGUAGCGGUGAAAUGCGUAGAGAUGUGGAGGAAUACCGAUGGCGAAGGCAGCCCCCUGGGCCAAGACUGACGCUCAUGCACGAAAGCGUGGGGAGCAAACAGGAUUAGAAACCCCUGUAGUCCCA
rnacentral:rRNA from 1 species